UGGUGCCCUUGGCCUUGUAAGGCAGGGUUAUGGUUAUAUAUUUGAUCCCUGCCUUCCCUGCAGGUCUAGCAGCUGCUUCCUCUUCACCUGGCCUUUGUGGAUCACUGACUUAUACUCUGAAGUCUGAGCUCACCUGUCAUCCGAGUUGAACCCACCGUGCAGCCAUGGGGGAUGCAGAGAUGUCUGUGUUUGGGGCGGCUGCCCCAUACCUGAGGAAAUCGGACAAGGAGCGUAUGGAGGCGUCUACACGUCCUUUCGACAUAAAGAAGGAAUGCUUUGUUCCGGAUCCAGUGGAAGAGUUUGUGAAGGCAACCAUCAUCAGCCGAGAUGGAGACAAGGCCACUGUAGAGACGCAGCAUGGGAAGACAGUGACUGUCAAAGAGUGUCAGGUUCUGCAACAGAAUCCUCCAAAGUUUGACAAGAUCGAGGACAUGGCCAUGUUGACCUUCCUCCAUGAACCAGCUGUGCUGUUUAACCUCAAAGAACGUUAUGCAGCAUGGAUGAUCUAUACCUACUCUGGGCUCUUUUGUGUGACUGUCAACCCCUACAAGGGGCUGCCAGUCUACAACCAAGAAGUGGUCGUUGCCUAUAGAGGAAAGAAGAGGAGUGAAGCUCCUCCUCAUAUUUUCUCCAUCUCUGAUAAUGCCUACCAGUACAUGCUGGCAGACCGCGAAAACCAGUCAAUUCUGAUCACUGGAGAAUCUGGUGCAGGAAAGACUGUCAACACAAAGCGAGUCAUCCAGUAUUUUGCAAGUAUUGCAGCUGGAGGCAUAAAGAAAGACCCCAAUGCCAAAGACAAGGGUACCCUGGAGGAUCAAAUUAUCCAGGCUAACCCUGCUCUGGAGGCCUUUGGUAAUGCCAAGACCAUCAGGAAUGACAACUCCUCCAGAUUUGGUAAAUUCAUCCGCAUUCAUUUUGAUGCCAGGGGAAAGUUAGCUUCUGCUGAUAUUGAAACAUACCUUCUAGAAAAGUCUCGUGUGGUCUUCCAGCUCAAGGCUGAGAGAGAUUACCACAUUUUCUACCAGAUCCUGUCCAACAAGAAGCCUGAAAUCCUGGAGAUGCUGUUGAUCACAAAUAAUCCCUAUGACUACGCCUUCAUCUCUCAAGGGGAAACCCAAGUGGCCUCCAUUGAUGAUGCAGAGGAACUGAUGGCAACAGAUAAUGCCUUUGAUGUGUUGGGCUUUACUCAAGAGGAAAAGAAUUCGGUGUACAAGCUGACUGGUGCCAUCAUGCACCAUGGCAACAUGAAGUUCAAGCAGAAGCAGCGAGAGGAGCAGGCAGAGGCUGAUGGCACUGAAGAUGCUGACAAAGUAGCGUACCUGAUGGGCCUCAACUCUGCUGACCUGAUCAAAGGUCUUUGUCACCCAAGAGUCAAAGUGGGAAAUGAGUGGGUCACGAAGGGACAAAAUAUUGCUCAGGUGAACUAUGCUGUUGGAGCUCUAUCGAAGGCUGUUUAUGAAAAGAUGUUCCUGUGGAUGGUAAUGAGAAUCAACCAGUCCCUGGAGACCAGGCAACCUCGCCAGUACUUCAUUGGUGUACUGGACAUCGCUGGAUUUGAGAUAUUUGAUUUCAACACCUUUGAGCAGCUGUGCAUCAACUUCACCAAUGAAAAACUGCAACAGUUUUUCAACCACCACAUGUUUGUGCUGGAGCAGGAAGAGUACAAGAAAGAGGGCAUUGAAUGGACUUUCAUUGAUUUUGGUAUGGACUUGCAGGCCUGCAUUGACCUGAUUGAAAAGCCCAUGGGAAUCAUGUCCAUCCUUGAAGAGGAGUGCAUGUUCCCCAAAGCCUCUGAUGCCACCUUUAAAGCUAAGCUCUAUGACAACCAUCUGGGGAAAUCUGCCAACUUCCAGAAGCCCAGAGUUGUCAAAGGGAAACCAGAGGCCCAUUUUGCCCUGAUGCACUAUGCUGGAACUGUUGAUUAUAAUAUCAACAACUGGCUGGUGAAGAACAAGGAUCCCCUUAAUGAGACUGUUGUUGGACUGUAUCAGAAAUCUACUAUGAAGCUAUUAGCUAUCCUCUUUGCAAAUUAUGCUGGAGCUGAUUCAGCUAUGGUCGAUGGUACUGAAGGAAAAAAAGAGAAGAAGAAGAAGGGAUCAUCAUUUCAGACUGUGUCCGCUCUUCAUAGGGAGAACCUGAACAAGCUGAUGACCAACUUGAGGUCUACUCACCCUCACUUUGUACGCUGCAUCAUCCCCAAUGAGACAAAGACUCCUGGGGCCAUGGAGAAUCCUCUGGUUAUGCACCAGCUGCGCUGUAACGGUGUGCUGGAAGGCAUCAGGAUCUGCAGAAAGGGCUUCCCCAACAGGAUCCUUUACGGAGAUUUCAAACAGAGAUAUCGCAUCCUGAAUCCCGCUGCCAUCCCUGAUGGUCAGUUCAUUGACAGCAGGAAGGGAGCUGAGAAACUUCUUGGGUCACUGGAUAUUGAUCAUAAUCAGUACAAGUUUGGACACACUAAGGUGUUCUUCAAGGCUGGAUUGCUGGGUCUGCUUGAGGAGAUGAGAGACGAGCGUCUCUCCAAAAUCAUCACGGCUAUUCAAGCCAGAUCCCGUGGUCUUUUGUCUCGUAUUGAGUAUCAGAAGAUGGUGGAACGCAGAGAUGCAUUAUUAGUGAUCCAAUGGAAUGUCCGUUCAUUCAUGGGGGUCAAGAAUUGGCCCUGGAUGAAGCUGUUCUUCAAGAUCAAACCUCUGUUGAGAUCUGCUGAGGCAGAAAAAGAGAUGGCCAAUAUGAAAGAAGAAUUCCUCAAAUUGAAAGAGGCUUACUCAAAGUCUGAAGCUCGUAGAAAGGAACUAGAGGAGAAAAUGGUCACUCUUCUUCAAGAGAAGAAUGACCUGCAGCUCCAAGUUCAAGCGGAGCAAGAUAAUCUCUGUGAUGCAGAGGAAAGAUGUGAGGGGCUGAUCAAAAACAAAAUUCAACUGGAGGCAAAAGCUAAAGAGCUGACAGAAAGGCUCGAGGAUGAGGAGGAGAUGAAUGCUGAACUGACUGCUAAGAAGAGGAAGCUGGAGGAUGAGUGUUCUGAGCUGAAGAAAGACAUUGAUGACUUAGAGUUAACUCUGGCUAAAGUGGAGAAAGAGAAGCACGCCACUGAGAACAAGGUAAAGAACCUGACUGAGGAGAUGGCAGCUCUGGAUGAAAUCAUUGCUAAGUUGACCAAGGAAAAGAAAGCCUUACAGGAAGCUCAUCAGCAAACACUGGAUGAUCUGCAGAGUGAAGAAGACAAAGUCAACACUCUGACCAAGGCCAAGGCUAAGCUGGAGCAGCAAGUGGAUGAUCUUGAAGGAUCUCUUGAGCAAGAGAAGAAGGUUCGAAUGGACCUUGAGAGAGCUAAGAGAAAGCUGGAGGGAGACUUAAAGUUGACCCAGGAGAUUGUAAUGGAUUUAGAAAAUGACAAGCAACAGCUGGAGGAGCGCCUAAAGAAGAAAGACUUUGAGAUCAACCAGCUGAACGGCAAAAUUGAAGAUGAACAGGCCAUAAUGAUUCAACUCCAGAAGAAGCUGAAAGAGCUGCAGGCUCGUGUAGAGGAACUGGAGGAAGAGCUUGAAGCAGAGCGAGCUGCCCGAGGCAAGGUGGAGAAGCAGAGAGCAGACUUGGCCAGAGAGCUGGAGGAGAUCAGUGAGAGGCUGGAGGAGGCUGGUGGAGCAACAGCUGCCCAGAUUGAGAUGAACAAGAAGAGGGAGGCUGAGUUCCAGAAACUCCGCAGAGACCUCGAAGAGGCCACUCUGCAGCAUGAAGCCACUGCUGCCACACUCAGGAAGAAACAAGCUGACAGUGCUGCUGACCUGGGAGAGCAAAUUGACAACCUGCAGCGAGUCAAGCAGAAACUGGAGAAGGAGAAGAGUGAGCUCAGACUGGAGCUGGAUGAUGUGGUUUCCAGUAUGGAACAAGUAGUUAAAUCUAAGACUAACUUGGAGAAGACCUGCAGAACUUUGGAGGAUCAAAUGAAUGAAUACAGGAACAAGUGUGAUGAAUAUCAGAGAUCCCUUAAUGACUUCACUACCCAGAAAGCCAAGCUUCAAGCUGAGAACGAUGAGCUUUCAAGACAGCUGGAGGAGAAAGAAUCACUUAUUUCUCAGCUGACCAGAGGAAAGAAUUCCUACAAUCAACAACUUGAAGAUCUAAAAAGACAACUAGAGGAGGAAAUAAAGGCCAAGAAUGCAUUAGCCCAUGCAGUGCAGUCUGCUCGUCAUGACUGUGACCUGCUCAGGGAGCAGUAUGAGGAGGAGCAGGAGGCCAAGGCUGAACUGCAGCGCAGCAUGUCCAAGGCCAACUCUGAGGUGGCUCAGUGGAGAACUAAGUACGAAACUGAUGCUAUCCAGAGGACUGAGGAACUCGAGGAGGCCAAAAAGAAGCUGGCUCAGCGUCUGCAGGAGGCUGAGGAGGCUGUUGAAGCAGUGAAUGCUAAAUGUUCAUCUCUGGAGAAGACCAAACACAGGCUGCAGAAUGAGAUCGAAGAUCUCAUGGUGGAUGUGGAGAGGUCUAAUGCUGCUGCUGCUGCUCUGGACAAGAAGCAAAGAAACUUUGACAAAGUCCUGUCUGAGUGGAAACAGAAAUAUGAGGAGUGUCAGUGUGAGUUGGAGAGCUCUCAGAAGGAAGCCAGGUCUUUGAGCACUGAGCUCUUCAAAUUGAAAAACUCCUAUGAAGAAUCUCUAGACCAACUGGAGACCCUGAAGAGAGAGAACAAGAAUCUUCAGGAGGAGAUUUCUGACCUCACUGAGCAACUUGGUGAGGGAGGAAAAACCGUUCAUGAGUUGGAGAAGGUCCGUAAGCAACUGGAGCAGGAAAAGAAUGAGAUUCGUUCUGCCCUAGAGGAAGCAGAGGGUUCUCUUGAGCAUGAGGAGGGCAAGAUUCUGAGAGCCCAGCUUGAAUUCACUCAGAUUAAGGCAGAUAUGGAGCGUAAAAUAGCUGAGAAAGAUGAAGAGAUGGAACAGUGCAAAAGGAAUCUGCAGAGGACGAUCGACACCCUGCAGAGCUCUCUUGAGGCUGAGACUCGCAGCAGAAAUGAGGCCCUCCGUUUGAAGAAGAAGAUGGAGGGAGACCUCAAUGAGAUGGAGAUCCAGCUUAGCCAGGCUAACAGGCAGGCGGCUGAGGCCCAGAAACAACUUAAAUCUGUGCAUGCACAUCUGAAGGAUGCUCAGCUCCAGCUUGAUGACUCUCUUCGAAUCAAUGAUGAUAUGAAGGAAAACAUUGCCAUUGUUGAGAGACGCAACAACCUGCUUCAGGCUGAAGUGGAGGAGCUCAGGUCUGCUCUCGAGCAAACUGAGAGAGGUCGCAAACUUGCUGAGCAAGAGCUGCUGGAUGUUAGUGAGAGGGUGCAGCUACUGCACUCACAGAACACCAGCCUGAUAAAUCACAAGAAGAAGCUGGAGGCUGAUACAUCCCAGCUUCAAACUGAAGUGGAGGAAGCAGUGCAGGAGUGCAGAAAUGCUGAGGAAAAGGCCAAGAAGGCCAUUACUGAUGCUGCCAUGAUGGCAGAGGAGCUGAAGAAAGAGCAGGACACCAGCGCUCACCUGGAGCGUAUGAAGAAGAACAUGGAGCAAACCAUUAAAGACUUGCAGCACCGUCUGGAUGAAGCUGAACAGAUCGCCAUGAAAGGAGGCAAGAAGCAGGUGCAGAAGCUUGAAGCCAGGGUGAGGGAGCUGGAAAAUGAGGUGGAAAUGGAGCAGAAGAAAAGCAGUGAGGCUGUGAAGGGCGUCCGUAAAUAUGAGCGCCGUAUCAAGGAACUUACCUAUCAGACUGACGAGGACUGCAAGAAUAUUUCUCGACUCCAAGAUCUGGUAGAUAAGCUGCAGCUGAAAGUUAAAGCCUACAAGAGAGCUGCUGAGGAGGCUGAGGAACAGGCAAAUGUUCAUCUUGGCAAGUUCCGCAAGCUGCAGCAUGAGCUGGAUGAGGCUAAUGAGAGAGCUGACAUUGCUGAGACUCAGGUCAACAAGCUGCGCGCCAAAAGCCGUGAUGCUGGCUCCAAGGUUUGAAGCAUGCACUCUGUAGCAGGUGCACAGCAUCUGACCCUGACACAUGCUGCCUUCUGUUGGCUGUAUUUCACUUGUAUUCUGCUCUGCUCUUCAAGUAUUAGUACAAAAAGGGUUUGAUGAGGAGUGAAGCUUUGGAGCCUGCAGAAAUCCUUUUGCCUGCUGUGUACUGUAGAUCCCCUCAACUAUCACUAUUCACAACCUGUAGUGCUUAAUAAAAUCUCAUCAAGCUGUUGCA